CUCUCCCCUCCCAUAGCCCUACGUUUGCAUGGGACUGCUUAGCUCAGCGGCCGCAGGGACACCGACAGUGGACUCGGGGGCUGCAAGAAACAGCCAGAAUCUGUUCCGAGCCAGGUCUCAGGGGGCUGGGGGGAGAGAGGAAAAAGUCCUGAACAUGGGAAAACCACCCAACAGGCAGCAGUGGCUGUGCCUGAGCUUCCCUGGCUCAGGCGAGGGCGAGCUUAGCCCCUGGCAAAUUCAGGGCCACCGCAGCUCAGGGGUUGGGCUGGGUGGAUAGUGGCUUGGGAGGUUUUUGCUGUCCCCAGGUGCACGAGCUCAGCCCCCCUGGGCUGAUCUGGGGUCCCCGGUGGUUUGACUGCCCACCCUGGGUGCUGGGGUGUGCUGAGGGCUGCGUGGGAGCUCAGCCCCCGCUGGUGCCCAGGGCUGGGGCGGCCGCAGGAGGGAACUGCACAGCGUUACUGCCUGACUUGGGUUUUUUCGCUGUAUCAUUUUGUCCUCACCGACUUCUUUGCUUUCUACUCUUUUGCCCUCUUUCCCCCCUCUUCUGUUUCCACCCACCCUGGGAUUGUGCUGCUGUUGUUUUAUCUCUGACUGGAGCACGGUUCCUGUGGAAAGCCACUGAUUUAUGAGCAAACGGUUUUCCUAAAGGACGUGGUGUCGCUGAGUUGCCAUUUCUUAUACUUGGCGCUGGCUGCUCCUGUCAUCGCUAAGGUUGCAGACAGAGUAAAAUAUAUUACCCUCCUUGGUCUCGCACGCUCGUAGCUGUGCAAGCCUGUGCUGUCCCCGGGCGGACGGGGCUGAUGGUUCCUCUGCACCGCAGGGGGAACUGGCCAGGAAAGCUUAAAAGAAAAACUCUGCAUAAGUCUGUGAGGUAGGAGAAAGGGCAAAAACGUACACCCAGGGGCAACUCCUCCUUAGACAGACUGACCCAACUCAACAGAAAUGCUGAGUCUGGGGAUGGCAAAGACCAGUGAGGAGCUGUGACCCACUCCCGGCUCCCCCAGCAGCACUGCCGCGGCAAGGGCUUCGCAGCGGCGGGCACAGCUUGCUUGCACCGUGUGCUCUUUUCCCUGCUUUAACCCUAUUCCAGCUAUACAUUGCUCUGUGGAAAACCUGGUCUCCUGCAGCCCGUACACUCUCUUCUCCCUCAAACCGAAGCUGGUAGCCUGCCUGGCUCCAGCUCUCCUCACUUUGCCUUCAUUGCUUCUCUCUGAUCCUUUUAUUUCAGGUGGAGAAGCGAAGCACAGCUUUUUAAACCUCCCUAGGUGCUCCAGGCAGCUGUCUCGUGGUUUUCUACCUGAUUCAAGCUGACUGAAAGUUCAAGUUUUUCAGUACACCCUGGGAUGAAGCCGCAUCUCCCCCUUUUGCUGUAUUUCAAACCUGCAAUCUCGAGGGCUUCCACCUGACUCAUCAGCAAACUAACCUCUGCCGCUCUGCUGAUUCCUGCGGCGAGGAGCGGGGGGGUGGCCGCGGUGUUCACCGAUCGCGCCCUGCCUGCUGACUCGGGAAACUUUCCCUUGCUCACCCCGGGCAGCUGGCCCUGUGACGCCUUUUCUUUUCUGCUUUGCUUCGCUUUUAUGUAGCGAGGGAAGCUCCAGCCGUGCUGAGCUUUCCUCUCACGUUUCUGUUGCUCAGGGGCCCGUGUCUGCAGUAAAGGGUGGGAGUUUUGCCAGAGAAUUUGCUGGAGGCUUUCAUGGCACGGGGAGGAAAAACCUUGGGUGGGUUAUCAUGGAUAGCAAUGUGGAGACCCCAGCCCUUCCUCCCGGGCCCACCCUCCUCCUCGCUGGCUGCCCAGAGGCACGAGAGUGGCAGCAGGGGCAAACCUCUCUGCAGAAGAAAGGCGCUUUGCCUGCUGUGUUCCUGAUAGUGUCGCCCUGCGUCCUGGGUUUCUUUUCCUUUGCACCGAGGCUUGGGCUGGCUUGGCCGGGCAGCGUCGCGGGGCACCUGGCAGAGGUGUACCCCGCAGCAGAAAGGGGUCUUGGCUGCUUCUCACCUUGCAGGCUUUGCAGCCUGCAUGGGCGUAAAGUCAGAGAUGGAAGGGAGGCGAUGAGCAGAUCACAAAGGUUGAGUGAUGAAGGGUCGCCUACUUAAGAAAAUGUUUCAUUUUCUCCACAUAGAAUGGCAUAAAGAGUGUCCCCUUGCACGGGAAAGUCUGUUUAUAACUACCUGAAUCCUAAUGAAUCCUGAGCAGGCGCCCUGCAGUUUUCUGCCCAUGCAUUGCAUCCCGGAGCGUGGCGAGGCGCAGAUCUCGGGCGUUAGCACAGGGACGCACGGCGCUUGGUCUGACGUGGGUAAAACUCACAUUCUGCUCCCACCCGAUGCCUGGCCUGGCGUGCCACGGGCCGUGCUUUCACCUUUGCAGGGUGCAAAGUCUGCUGUGGUUCGCUGUUUGUCAGGGUAAAAGAUAAGGCUGUAAAGAAAACAAACCGAAGCAGCCCUCCUUUCCUAGUUGGUAAAGUGAUAAUCGGAGAGAUCUCACCCUGCUAUUACUGAUCCACUUCAGCAGCUUUCCGCACGGGUCUUCCUCACUUUCCUCCCCCUUCAUCAUCGCCAUGCUCCUGGCCAGCCUCAACAGCUGCUGCAACCCCUGGAUCUACAUGCUGUACACGGGGCACCUCUUCC